rnacentral:lncRNA from 1 species
GGUUCUACUAUCCAAACUUUCCCCCACAAGCUCUUGUGCCACGAUCCUGGUCUUGCAUCCUUGAUAUGCCUUUCCAUCCCUGAUCAUAUCGCUUGACAAUAUUCAUGACCUUCUCGCUCAUCACUGUGCAUUACCAUGAUCCUAGAGAUACAUGACCACACCACCCAACAUCUUAGGUCCAUAGCCUACUCACACAUUGAGCACUGCCACG